rnacentral:rRNA from 1 species
UGGGGAAUAUUGGACAAUGGGGGAAACCCUGAUCCAGCAAUGCCGCGUGAGUGAAGAAGGCCUUAGGGUUGUAAAGCUCUUUCGCCCGCGAAGAUAAUGACGGUAGCGGGAGAAGAAGCCCCGGCUAACUCCGCGCCAGCAGCCGCGGUAAUACGGAGGGGGCUAGCGUUGUUCGGAAUUACUGGGCGUAAAGCGUACGUAGGCGGAUGCGCAAGUUGGGGGUGAAAUCCCGGGGCUUAACCUCGGAAUUGCCCUCAAAACUGCACGUCUUGAGACCGAGAGAGGUUAGGGGAAUUCCUAGUGUAGAGGUGAAAUUCGUAGAUAUUAGGAAGAACACCAGUGGCGAAGGCUCCUUACUGGCUCGGUACUGACGCUGAGGUACGAAAGCGUGGGGAGCAAACA